AGCGCAACCCUCGUCGAUAGUUAAUUUCUCUAGCGAGACGCCCGUAUAACGAGGAGGAAGGUGGGGAUGACGUCAAGUCAGCAUGGCCCUUACAUCCUGGGCUACACACACGCUACAAUGGGUGAUACAAUGGGUUGCAAUAGAGCGAUCUGGAGCCAAUCCAAAAAACCAUCCUCAGUUCGGAUUGCAGGCUGAAACUGCCUGCAUGAAGUUGGAGUUGCUAGUAAACGCAGGUCAGCACACUGCGUUGAAUACGUUCUCGGGCCUUGUACACACCGCCCGUCACGUCAUGGAAGUCGGUAACACCUGAAGUCGAUAGGCUAACCCGUAAGGGAGGCAGUCGCCGAAGGUGGGACUGGUGACUGGGACG
rnacentral:rRNA from 1 species